AUAAUAAUGGCAUGGUGGUCUGAGUGUUGGACUAUGACUCUGGAGACUAGGGUUCGAAUCCCUGUUUGGUUGUG